rnacentral:pre_miRNA from 15 species
UACCUCUGGCCCUUUGGAAGACUAGUGAUUUUGUUGUUGUGAAUGUCAAAGAACUAACAAAAAAUCACUGUCGGCCACUGGGGACAGAGGUC